rnacentral:rRNA from 1 species
AUUGAACGCUGGCGGCAUGCCUUACACAUGCAAGUCGAACGGUAACAGGUCUUCGGAUGCUGACGAGUGGCGAACGGGUGAGUAAUACAUCGGAACGUGCCUAGUAGUGGGGGAUAACUACUCGAAAGAGUGGCUAAUACCGCAUGAGAUCUACGGAUGAAAGCAGGGGAUCGCAAGACCUUGUGCUACUAGAGCGGCCGAUGGCAGAUUAGGUAGUUGGUGGGAUAAAAGCUUACCAAGCCGACGAUCUGUAGCUGGUCUGAGAGGACGAUCAGCCACACUGGGACUGAGACACGGCCCAGACUCCUACGGGAGGCAGCAGGGGGGAAUUUUGGACAAUGGGCGCAAGCCUGAUCCAGCAAUGCCGCGUGCGGGAUGAAGGCCUUCGGGUUGUAAACUGCUUUUGUACGGAACGAAAAGCCCUGGGUUAAUACCCUGGGGUCAUGACGGUACCGUAAGAAUAAGCACCGGCUAACUACGUGCCAGCCGCCGCCGUAAAAC